GGAGAAACACACACAGGCGGAGGGGACCCGGGGCGAGUCAUCAAGGGCGCGUGGUUCGGCGUGCCAGGCGCGCUGCUCUGCCUGCUCUCUUGGCUUCUGUCUCCCUUCGGCCGAUCGCCCCCUAUCCUGAAGCUUUCCAAUAUCAUCUGGGAGCCUCAAAGUUUCCUGGGGCCUCCGCGUUGUGCGUCCCAGAACCCCUUGCCCGCCCCUGAGGGAAACGCGGAGCUACAGACAGCGGGACGUCGGGAGCCGGCCCAGGGGAGGCCAGAUUCAGCAUUUGGACAGCGGCUCUGGGGCGCAGUCGGCCCAGCGAGUUUGCAGGUGCACAGCCUCGGGCAGAUGGCGGGUAGGAGGGCCGCAGGGCUGCUCUGGGUCUUGGAGAAGCAGGACCCAGCCUGGAGGGCAUCCCCAGCUCCGAAUGGGACACGUUUUCCUGAGAUAAAAGAUCCCUUCUGAGCUCACACGGGGGCCCCGGGACCAGCCAAUCCAGCGUGGAUAUCCCCAGCCUAACCAACACCUAUGCUGGGUGGAAAGAUAAGACGCCCCCUUUCAGCCAGGAGGUGGACGCCCCUCAUGCCCUCAGCUCUCCAUUCUUCCCAAAGCAGCUCGGAUCCCUGAGUCUGGAGCUGCCAGCGAGGCUUCCAACCCGCUGCUUGCCAUCACCUCCCGGGUCGUUGGUGGCUCCGGUUACUCCCCUGCUGGUGCCUCCCUCCCUGGCGCGGUUCCCACCUGCGAUCGGCGCCCUCUUCGCAGUCACGAACUCGCCAGCAGCUAGCAGCACUGACUAGUAGGAGGGCCCGCCGGAGGAGAGCCGCGCGGCCCACAGAAGCGGAACGCGCGUCGAGAGCGCCCUGUCCGCUCGCCCCAGACAGAUGCCCGGUUAUUCAUUACCCCGAGGCCUAGAGGAAAGAAUGGCUGCCGUCCUCCUGUCCACAGCCCGCCGGACCCUCCGUCGCGGCUGCCGGCUCCCCGGAGCCGCAGCCACCGAGCCUGGCUGUGCGUGUCGUGGCUGCUGGGGAGAAAGAGGCGUCCGGACAUGCUCUGGAGUCAGAAGACGGCGAAAAGAGAAGCAGAAGCCUCGGUGGCAAGAGUCCGAAGGACGCAAUCACUGUAACCUGUGGAUUGUACUGCAGUAGGAAACUAUCCUAGCGAGGCUCUGCUUUGCCCCAGCUUCAAGCUGGAAAGGAGGAGAACAUGAAACGUUGCUUGAAGACAAUGGCCGAGACAGCAGGUCCCACCCUGCACAGCCACCAGCAUCUCUCCCCUCAGCCCUGUCUCCUCUUCUGCAGUUGGGAUCUGCACAUUUAAGCCCCAAAUUGUCCUGUGAAGUGAAGUAUGAUCGGACAGCCUCUUUUCAGCUUUUAUGAAAAUGGAGACAGAGGAAUUGUGGCUCUUGCCAAGGUCACAGGAUUGGAAUGCAGAGCCAAGCCACCCCAGGACAUGCAAGAGCCUCAGAAGGGAAAAAGCCCAGCAGGAAGGGAGAACAAGUAGCCUCUGUCCUGAGGUUGUAACAGCCAAGGGCCAGGAUGGAGGAGGAGGACCCCAUGAUCUGCCCAUCUGGCACUUGGCAGGGGACCUGGGAAAAUGUACCCCAACCCAUCCCUCAAGGGCCUUUGCCUUUGGCCCACUGGCCUAGCAUCUCCUUCUUCACCAUGUCUGUUCUUGUCACACCUAGUCAGGUCUGUUUGGGUCUGAGGUGCAUGGAACAUUCUGGGUAGGCCUCCAGCAAAUGGAAGCUCUUCACCGUGUUUCCAGCCUGGGACCAAGGGCAGCACACUGGCAAAGUUGCCAAAGCAAGGGACUCCAGCCUUUUAGGAGUUAAUGACUCCCUCUCCCCAGCUGUCCUCCCCUUAGUGCUCCUCUUCCUCCCUCCUCCUGCUCACAGCAGGCAGGGCCUAGACCCAGGAGCCAUGCUGCUGUGCUGUUGCCAGGGGAGCACGGAGGCAGAUCUGAGCUAUGCAGGGAAAAGGCCCGGCCUGUCAAAGUGUCUGAGAUGAACCGCUGCCGUCCCUGUGCAGCUGGGCUCAGACGUGUCUCAGCUCUUGUUCUGUGCCUGAGAAUGGCAAAACCCAGUGAGGUUCAAGGGCAAACUCGCUAUUCAUUAGUCAGGGGUUCUUGACGUCCCGUCUCUCCCAGGGAUGAGUUCCCCCCUCCUCUUUCUUCCCCUCCUGUGACACAUUCCUGGGUGCCUUUGGUGAGGACUGCACACCCUCCUCCUGCCUAGCCCCCUCUCCGAAGGCCCCUGAAUAAACUCCCCCCAAGGAGACCAGGCAGGGCAGAGACAAUGGCUGCAGGAAAUCAUUCAUGCGGGACAUGCUGGCCGGCCCUCCACCCAGUCCCCCUGUGGGCCCCACGCCCUUCUGAUUCAGGGCACCCUUGGGCCCCCAGCCUAUACAGGCCUGGACAGGAAGAAACCACUGGGAACCACCCUAAGGACAUACAUGCUAGUCCAGUGCCAUUCUUCGCUGGCUCUGUGGGUGCCUUUGUGGCCUGUACCGACUGGCUGGCUAAUUUUGUGGUUUCUGUACCAUCACAUGCCUAUUUUGAGACACUCUCAAGCACUGUCGGUUAGGGAGUGUAAAUUGUACAAUAUUUUCUGAAAUGUGGCAAUAUCAAAAUGUAGAAAGCACAUGUACUUGGUCACAAACAAAUGGCACUAUUUACUCUGUGGGCAUAUUUGUAAAAGUUCCCAAAGAUUUAUAUACAAGGAUGUUCAUCAGAGCAUUUCUUUUGAAGAGUGUAAAGAAAUGGACAUGAACCUAUGGUCUGUUCAUACUGUGGAAUACCUAUGCAGCUGUAAAAAUCGGUGUGGUAGAUCUCCGUAUAUGAGUUGAUGUGGAAGGUUGGCCAGUUCACAUGAUAAGGUGAAUAGAAUAAGUUACAGAACAGGCUGUGGAGUAUGAUCUUAUAUGUAGAUGUUUAGAAGUGAGUCAUAAGUAGGCUUAUAUAUGGAUCGUUUCUGGAAGUGUGUACUGGAAGGCUACCUCUGGGGAGUGGGGAUGGGGGAAUGCACUCUUCUAUACUGUUAUGUUUUCUUUUCGUGCUCCUAAGAUACUUUUAUUGAAAGAUGUAAAGGGGUUCAAUGUAAUAGGCUUAACUUCUAUCAACUAAGUUGGCAUGGGUACUUUAAGAGGGUGGUAGUGAUGUUGCUGGAGAAAGUAUCCCACAAUCACUGGUGGCUUCAGCCAUGGGCCAUUUUGGGGCCUAAUAAUCACAUAUCAUCAUGGUGGCUAGUAUUAAUCGAAAACCUACUAAGUGCUAGGCUUACUGUCUCUGGGUCUUGCUUACGUGGAUGUCAUUUUUCCAGUUUCACCAAAUCGAAAGAGGUUAAUUGGUUUGUUGGAGCUCCUUUGCAGGUGAGGGGCAGAGCCAGGAGCUUGGCUAGGGACAGGGAAGGUGGGUGGGGGAUGGUGGAUAGGUCUUGGCUCCUAGUUUCCUUCCAGGCAGACAUUUCCCCUCUGCCCUGAGGACCUGCUUGUUUGGGGGAGGAGGCCUUUAGAGGCACGGGGUCAUGCCAGGUGUUGGACAUGGUGAACUGGGAAGUGCCCCCAUCUGGCCACAGCCCAGAAGUAUCACCGUGCUUGGGGGAUGGGGAACAGGGCUGUGAAUGGGCCUAUUUGCAUAAGCAGCAUGUGUCUGGAGAGAAAGACAUCACAGAGCAGAAGAGUGCGGGUGGGUGCCCAGGAGUGCAGUUGCCACCCCUACUUCAUCCCUGAAAGAGUAAAUGGCCUAGAAAGUGUCUCUGAGAGGUAAUGCUGCACACCACCCUCCCUGGGGGCACUGGAUCAGGCUACACCUGCCUUAGGUCGGGGGCUGCAGCAGCCUGCAGAGCUCUCAGUAGGGCCUCAGUGGCCUGGGAGGGAGCAGGGGCAGGGGGCAGGGAAAGAGGCGUAAUGGGGCUGUCCAGAGGGGCCUGGGAAACCUGGUCCCUGAGGCCUGGGCACAGCUACAAUCACUUCAAAUUGGCUGUGGGGCCAGUGGACUGGGAAGAAAAAAAGCAAUAAGAGUGACCAAGUGCAGCAGGCUGUCAGGUCCCAGGUCGCAUGCCUUAGUGCAGUGACUCCUCAUCAUUUUAUGGGGUGUGGGUGUCAUUGGUACACCCAUUUUACAGAUGAGGACACCGAGGCCCAGAAAAGUUAAGUUACAUGUCCUAAGUCACACAGCUUGUAAGUGCCAGAACUGAGAUGAAAACCAAGUGUCUUUCACUUUAAAGUCUGUACUCUGACCCCAAAGAGAUCCUGUUUGGUUUGGCCACUUAUAGGAGGUCCCUAAAGCUGCAGACUCCCCUUGCCAGCGCCCACAUAUGGAGACAUUAACCCUUCCCCUGCAGGGUCACCUCAAAUAGUCUUUUAGCUGGGCUUCUCCUGCAGUUCCACCUAAUGCCAUCCCCUGGGUUUUGCCCAAAUCUGAACUGGGCAGUGGGGUGAGAGGAGGGGUUUACAGGGUUACAGAGCUUCAUACAGAUAGGAGCCCCUGGCUGCUGGUCAUCUGCAUUCCUGCAGGAUUGGCUGUUCCUUGAGGUCCUUGGCAGGAAAAUGAGGAUUGCUCCCGAGGCCUGCUCCAGUGCUUCCCAGAGGCUGGCCUGGUGUGGGGCUCUGGGAAGGCUGAGGCUGGAGAAGCAGAAGUAGGAGGGCAGAGAUGGCAGUCAGGUAGCUUGAAUCACCAAGACCCUUCCAAGCCCCACAGGUUCUCCUGAGGGAGUACUAGGGCAAGCUCUGGGAGAGGUCUCUUCCUAUGCUGUGAACCCCCUGUCUUUCUUGCAGCCUACAAUGAAUAAAUUUUCUUUGCAAAGG
rnacentral:lncRNA from 1 species